CUUUAUGCUUAGGUAUUUGACUUCUCUCCAUCAUGAUACAAGUACAAUAAAACUAAAGAUAUGAAACUAUCUAAAACAGAAAGUAUGAAAUAUUUAAGAGAAAAUGAAGAAAAUGCUGUGUUCAUCAUUGAAUCUGUCGCUGGAGGUGAAAGUCGCAUGAUCAAACUAUCAUCACAUCAUUUCAAGAAGACAGAAAAUAAACUGGGAUAAGAAAAAAAAAGUGGAUGGAAGAAAUUCAGAAAAGAUAUCAGAAUUUCAGCAACAUGACAAAAAUUAAAUGCAGAGAGGCAGAGAGGGAUAAUAAAGUACAAGAAUUUCUGGAAAGAAAAUCUUUAUUAGAAAGAAGUCAAUCUGAUACUUCGAAAUCAACAAGAACAUUGAAUGCCUCGUGUGCAUACUGGAAACAAGAGUAUAAUGGACAUUUCAAGAAUCAAUCAAGCUUAAAAACUGACCAAUCAGAGCAUCGCUAAGAAUAUACAUGCUUCUCCCACAAACACAUGUGGGUAUGCACAUGUUUACGUACGUACACGCUAUCUUUUUAUGGGACCUUAGCAAUAAUAUGCAAGGGUCGAGGCUAAAAGCCAAUUAACAUGGGCAUUACAAAGUAAGAUAGAAGAUGAUGGAGCAAAGCUCACAUUUUGUUUAAUUCAACACUUCUCGGUCAAUGGUAACAUUUCAGUCCGCUUUGACAUAUCAAAUUUACUUGUACAAACGACUAUCUGAGAAUCAAAAGUAUUUCUGAAAAAAUUGCAAAUGAAAUUAAGAGCUUAGAUGAAAUUGAAAGGGAACUAAGUAAAAAUUGAAUUUUUGUAUGACCUAAUUAUUUCAUAAAUUGAAAGAUAAUGUGCCAAUUAUAUUACAUAAAAUUAUAACUGCAGAAAAUAUAGAAAUGCAUGGUCAAAACAACAAAAGUUCAAUUUGAUUUAUAAUUUGAAGCAUGUGUUUCUAAGAGAUACCACAUGUUGUAUGCUUGUAAGUCCAGACAAGGACUCGGCCACGUCCAAUGUUUACAAAACUUCCUACUCGCUAAUGAAUGCCAUAGCUACAACAGCACCGGGAGCUUGUAAAUACCGGAUAGUGUACCGGUAAUGAAACGCCUGUAAAUGAUUUAUUCUUUGAUAAUAAAGGAAAACAAAGCUAACCCAAUUUGGGACUACCGAUUAUCUAGAAUAUACUGUUUAAUGAAAUGAAGACAAGACUUUCAAGAAAACGCAACUAAUUGCUCAUAGGACUUCUUUUUUAUUUUUGUUUAUAAAUUGUUAAUAUGUACAGUAGUACAUCAGAUUAAACAUUUUUUUU